UCCCCGCAUAAGGACACACGGGCCCAGGCUCAGUGACGGGUGAGCCCUGGAUCUCAUCAGGCUAAGGCUGUGGUCACGCGAUGAGGAUCCCUCCCUCUCUAUUGUCCAAAGCCCCAGACCUGUCUGAAGCAUUCCCAGGGGCUUGAGGUCACGGGGCUCUGGCCCUUGUCUGUGACUGACCAGUAGGCAUAAAUGGUACGGCUCCUCUGGCACCUACAACACAAAACCUUGGCUGGAAAAUCGGCAACACAUCCAUAGCUCCUCCAAAAGAGACCACACCCUGUGAUCCAGGACUGUAAAUGGCACAGCCGUCUCUAGACAGUGGCCAUGAAGUAAAACUCCUACUGUUCCUGAUGGUGGGCUGUGACAUGCCAAAACAUAACUCCAUUUUUGCCUCUGGUCACAGCUGAGACCUCAACGGUCCUGUGAUGCUGUGACUCUCAAGGACAAGAUUACAUCUGCUGAAGACACCCUGGUUCCCUGAGAACUGAAUAGUCCUUAUCAGCAUAAGAUCCUCAGGGUCAUUGGAUUACUGUCACUCUCCCAGGCAUCUGAUACGUCCUCUGAUUAUAAGAUCCUUGCCAAUUUAGGAUUAUCAUCCCCCUUACGUCAUCUGUUACUCCCCAUUAACCCAAUAAAUAGUG